AAUCAUCUCCCAUUGAAAGCUGAAUCAUGAGGAUACCAUCUCCAAGCAGGUGGAGUAUUUGAUCCCUUUAGCAAGGCAGUGAUUUUGAAAUUCGGGUUUAGACAAAAAGAUAUUUCAAGCUCCUGAAGAACAAGUUUGAAGGAUUCAGAGCAGAGAAUUGCACCCUGGCAUGAUGCCUAUGCCAGCUGGACUGUGUGAUUUUUGUUCUUUAGUAGAAGGAUAACAUGACAUAGCAGGAAUAAUACUGCCUUUUCUUUCUGGCAUGGAUCAAGAGAAAAGAAAAUACAAGAAAACAGACAGAAGCAAGGCAAGGUACUUCUAUGGAAGGGUGAGCCCUCACAGAUGGAGCAAUGGGGCGCGCACACCUGAACAAGGGAGGGGAAGGAGUUCUUAUCCCUGAUGCAUGUGACCCCUGCUGCUGUGUCCUUCCCCUAUUGGCUAAGGUUAGACCACACAGCCUAAACUAAUUCCGAUUGGCUAAUUCAAAGAGAGCGACGGGGGCUUCUGACAGCUUUGGAGAUUGUGACAUUGGAAUAAAGGAAAAACGUACAGGACUCAUGAAGCGCUGAAAUGUUCACAAAUAUCAAGCAAAAGUCAAUGAAAUUUAUUUUGAGCUAUUUACAUCAUUUAAUAAUUGAGCAAGGUAUACUCCUAUGAACAAAAUUUGGAGCAUGUUUGUCUCUCUCUGCCUGGCGUCUUCAGAAUUUGGAAACUAGUUAGUCAUGGAAAUUUAUUUUGAGCUAUUUACAGCAUUUAAUAAUUGAGCAAGGUAUACUCCUAUGAACAAAAUUUGGAGCAUGUUUGUCUCUCUCUGUCUGCCUGGCAUCUACAGAAUUUGGAAACUAGUUGUGCUGUACUGCAUGAGAAUGCCUGCAUUUAGUAUGCGAACUGGAAUUGGCAAAGGACGAUGGCUGCUCUCCCGCUAACUUUAAAUAAGUCAUGUCACAAAUUGCAUUCGUUCCCAGAUUUCCUAAACUUUCCAGAGAAAAUGGUCUUCUCCCUGGCUCAGCAAGAAGAUGAACUUUAAACACUGAGAAACUGGUCAUCUCCCUGGCUCAACCAGAAGAUGAACUUUAAACACUACUCUCAAUGACUUGAUGUUCCCAUCACUACUCCUGUCAUAAAGGGAGGGGACUCAGAUAUUGAGAAUUUUAUGAUAGUGUGAACUGUCUGGUAUGUCAUUUAAGUAAGCCCGUUGCUGAAAUAUUUUCCAUGUUAUUAGAAAGAGCUGAAGAGAGGGAUUGAGAUGGCUUCUUUAUUUUUUGUCUUUUGGGAAUUAAAGGAACCUGGUUCAACAAGGGCCUACACCUAAGUCUCUUGUUGUACCAGAGUACAAUUUAGGACUGCUCCUGAGGAAGGAAUUAGCUAGAAAUCUAGAGAGUAAGGGUAACAGAUUUACAUAGAAUAACAGCCUCAGUAUUUUUGGUUCCUCUCCAGUAAAGAUCACAAAGAAUAUUGCUAAAUCGCUAAAACACCUUUGCAAUAACGUAAGGGCUUACAACUAUAUACCAAUGUAGCUCAGUUACUAAACUGGAGUAAACUAAUUUCUCUUGUGUAGAAAAAUUGGUUGGCUGUGGUUUUAUAGCAGAUCUGCAAUUAUUAAUAGUUAUGCCAAUAAUCGUUUAACAGUGCAUAUGUUAAUAUAUAUGGAAAGACAAUGUGUAUAGACAGAUGUGUAAAAUUGAAAAAUAAACAUAUAACAAGAGAGAAACAUCUAUCGAACAGACAAUAUACAUACACAUCAAACACAACAGCAGUUUUAGUGACCAUAAUAUUUAUUUCUCAUUUUUACAUUGCUUACUUUAGUGACAACUGAAAAUGACAGUUGGCAAUGCAGCUAACAGUUUCAAUAAAAGUAUAAAACAAAAGACUGUGUACAAAGCACCUGUCUUUCCGCUUUUGUAAUCUUCCGUUGGAAAAAAUUUACACACCUAAGUAACCAUCUGUUUUCUUCAAGAAAAAAUCAUUCUUAUUUCUCUCUCUCAUCUUGAAAACAGCUGUCAGCCAGGAGGGCAGAGCUGAAAUUUAUUGCCACAUCACAUGAAGCAUAGAACAGACUCCACUACUCCUUGAGAUUCAAAACUUUGCCUCUCACAAAGUUACCUUUUAUUUUCCUCUUGUUUGUCACUCAUCUCCCCUAGUGUGCUCUUUUUAUUUCUUUUACUAUUAAUAAUAAAAUCUGUGGAUGACUGUAUUAUUGAA
rnacentral:lncRNA from 1 species